AUCCUCCUCCUCCACUCCCCCCUUUAUUACCCUUUGUGUCAUCCUCCACAGCUCCAGGGAAGGCACUCAAAAGUGGGGGGCAGGAAAGACAAUUACCAACUUUCCAGUUUUCUAUGGAUAUGAAGAUUUACUUCUAGUCUUCAGUGGGAUCCCAUGAAGUCAGCCAGAAAGCCUAUGUGCAGCUUACGUAUCUCUGUAAACUUGUCUCAAUUUCAAUUGUAUGUGCACAGCAGAUUGUACUUAGCUAUUUAUUAAACAUCUAUGAAGCAUCUUCUGUCAGGCAUUGCAUUAGGCAUAUGAAAAGCAAGCAUGGCCCCUGCAAUUUAUUGUGAAGAGAAUUAAAUACAGUUUAAUUGUGUUGCACAAGUGUAUUGGUCAUAUCUUUAUUUUGGCUAACCUAAAUAAAUUUUACAUCAUCUAAAUGGGUACUGUUAGGUAGAAAAGAACAUGUUUAGCAAGGAUAUUGUUGUGUUCUGUUAAAAUAGUAAAAUAGUAAGAAAACAAUUUCCACUUAAUACUGUAUUCUAGAAAUUUCUAUUCUGUGUAUAGCUUACUUUGGACAGUGAAAUUAGAGUGGAUUUAUCAUUUUUUAUUUGAAGAUGACCAACACUGUUCAUCAAAUUUUUUCCCAAAGGAAAAAAAAAAUCCAGACUCAGCAAACUUAAUUAUUUCUCUCAAAAGUAACUCUUCUUUCUUUGCACUCAAAAGAGUGUCUUUUACGGUCUAUUGGGAGAUACUGUACAUUUUCCUUUAGACUUUGGGUAUUUUAACUGCAUUUUAGUAAAUCUAACAUCAUGAUUUAGUUGGAACUGGUAUAUAUUUUUAGGAGUUGUAGAAAUUUUAGUAUGUUUACUAAGUAUAUUAUUUCAAGACUUCAGACAAAACUUAGAAGUUGUAGUUACACAACCGUUGCAGUGUUUAAUCUUAAUUAAACACUAUUUCUUCUAUAGCUCUAGUGAAAUGAGUUGAAGUUUCUAAUAUUGGUACUUUAGAAACAAAGAACCACAUCUUAUUACUUAUAAAAAGAUUUUUAUAUAUAAUUUAAAAAACAGAGAAAAAAGUAGCAUUCACUGCACUCUUCUCAAUACGUAUAUUUUAGAAGAAUAGUAGCCACAAUUGAAAAAAGUGGUAAUGCCUCUCAUGGCUUGUUUAAUAUCUAGAGAAAGUAAAUAGAUUCCUGAGUGGCAAAUUCUGAUCUUUUUCAUAUUCAUCCUUAAAUUCUGUUUUAGUAGUUAUCA